rnacentral:rRNA from 1 species
UACAGAGGUCUCAAGCGUUGUUCGGAUUCAUUGGGCGUAAAGGGUGCGUAGGUGGCGGGGUAAGUCAGGUGCGAAAUCUCGAGGCUCAACCUCGAAACUGCACUUGAUACUGCCUUGCUCGAGUACUGGAGAGGAGAUUGGAAUUUACGGUGUAGCAGUGAAAUGCGUAGAUAUCGUAAGGAAGACCAGUGGCGAAGGCGAAUCUCUGGACAGUUACUGACACUGAGGCACGAAGGCCAGGGGAGCAAACAGG